rnacentral:rRNA from 1 species
AGUAAAAGUCGUAACAAGGUUUCCGUAGGUGAACCUGCGGAAGGAUCAUUACCACACCUAAAAGCUUUCCACGUGAACUGUAUCAAAACAACUAAUUGGGGGUUUAAUUGGCGUCGGCUGCUGACAUCUUUUUGUUGGCGGCUGCUGCUGAGCAAGCCCUAUCAUGGCGGAUAUUCGGACCUUGGUCUGAACUAGUAGCUUUCGUUUUAAACCCAUUCCUAAUUACUGAUUAUACUGUGGGGACGAAAGUCUCUGCUUUUAACUAGAUAGCAACUUUCAGCAGUGGAUGUCUAGGCUCGCACAUCGAUGAGGAACGCUGCGAACUGCGAUACGUAAUGCGAAUUGCAGGAUUCAGUGAGUCAUCGAAAUUUUGAACGCAUAUUGCACCUCCGGGUUAUUCCUGGAGGUAUGCCUGUAUCAGUGUCCGUACAUCAAACUUGGUUUUCUUCUUUCCGUGUAGUCGGGGGAGGAUAUGCCUGAUGUGAAGUGUCUUACGGCUGAUUUUCGGAUCGGCUGUGAGUCCUUUGAAAUGUACAGAACUGACUCUCUUUGUUCGAAAAGCGUGGCAUUGCUGGUUGUAAAGGCUGUUCAUGUGACCAGU